UACGAAGGGGGGCUAGCGUUGCUCGGAAUCACUGGGCGUAAAGGGUGCGUAGGCGGGUCUUUUAAGUCAGGGGUGAAAUCCUGGAGCUCAACUCCAGAACUGCCUUUGAUACUGAAGAUCUUGAGUUCGGGAGAGGUGAGUGGAACUGCGAGUGUAGAGGUGAAAUUCGUAGAUAUUCGCAAGAACACCAGUGGCGAAGGCGGCUCACUGGCCCGAUACUGACGCUGAGGCGCGAAAGCGUGGGGAGCAACAGGG
rnacentral:rRNA from 1 species